UAGUAAAUUUCUUGCUUGUUGAUGAGAAAGUGAGAGGUUUGGCCUGAAAAACACCUUCAAUUUCUAAGGUUUGACCUCAGAUCAGACAAGGAUACCCGCUGAACUUAAGCAUAUCAAUAAGCGGAGGAAAAGAAACCAACAGGGAUUGCCUCAGUAACGGCGAGUGAAGCGGCAAUAGCUCAAAUUUGAAAUCUGGAGCCUUCGGCUUCCGAGUUGUAAUUUGAAGAGGAAGUUUCGGUUGCGAUCUGGGCCUAAGUUCCUUGGAACAGGACGUCAUGGAGGGUGAGAAUCCCGUACAUGGCUGCAGGUUUGCUUCUAUGUGAAACUCCUUCGAAGAGUCGAGUUGUUUGGGAAUGCAGCUCAAAAUGGGUGGUAAAUUUCAUCUAAAGCUAAAUAUUGGCGAGAGACCGAUAGCGCACAAGUAGAGUGAUCGAAAGAUGAAAAGCACUUUGAAAAGAGAGUUAAACAGUACGUGAAAUUGUUGAAAGGGAAGCGCUUGCAAUCAGACUCACUUUCAGUUGAUCAACGUUCCUUCUGGUUCGUGCACUUUGCUGUUUGUGGGCCAGCAUCAGUUGGAGCGGUGGGACAAAGACAGCAGGAAUGUGGCUCUCUUCGGGGAGUGUUAUAGCCUGUUGUGUAAUGCCACCAGUUCCGAUUGAGGUCCGCGAUUCGUCUAGGAUGCUGGCUUAAUGGUUGUAAGCGACC
rnacentral:rRNA from 1 species